rnacentral:rRNA from 1 species
AGAGAUGUGUGAUGACGCAUAUCAAUAAGCGGAGGAAAAGAAACUAACAAGGAUUCCCUUAGUAACGGCGAGUGAAGCGGGAAGAGCUCAAAUUUGAAAUCUUCAAGGUUCUACCUUGACGAAUUGUAGUUUAUAGAAGUGUUUUCUGUUAGUAGAGUGGCAAAAGUUCUUUGGAAUAGGACAUCAUAGAGGGUGAGAAUCCCGUAUUUGGUCAUUCUUCUAGCGUUGCGAUACACUUUCAACGAGUCGGAUUGUUUGGGAAUGCAGUCCAAAAUGGGUGGUAAAUUUCAUCUAAAGCUAAAUAUUGGCGAGAGACCGAUAGCGAACAAGUACCGUGAGGGAAAGAUGAAAAGAACUUUGAAAAGAGAGUUAAACAGUACGUGAAAUUGUCAAAAGGGAAGCGUUUGACACCAGUGUUGUUUUUCCGAAAAUCAAUUACGAAUGUUUUGUUUUUAAGAAGUUAUGACUUCAUCGGCUUGCUUCUCUCUUUACGAAACUUUCUUAAUGCACUUUUCGGUUAACAAGUCAACAUCAAUUUCUUUUGUUGUAAAAGGGUAUGAGGAAGGUGGCUUUCUUUUCGGAGAAAGUGUUUAUAGCCUUGUACCUCUGCAAUCGGAGAGAUUGAGGUCUGUAGCGUAGAUCCUUCGGGGUUAGAUACAUUUGUGCUAAGUUAUAGCUUUUCAUAGACAACUUGUUGACUAUGUUAAGUCUUGUAGCUUACUCGCUUAUGCUAUUUUACCUACGCUUAGGAUGUUGACGAUCAGCUGAGCGCG